GAGCACCGUGAGCUCGCGCGCGAAGCGGUCAGGAAGUCCUUGGUGCUGCUGAAGAACGGAAAAUCCUCCUACUCUCCGGUGCUUCCCCUCCCGAAGAAAGCCGGUAAAAUUCUCGUCGCGGGAAGCCAUGCUGAUGAUUUGGGCAGACAGUGUGGAGGAUGGACCAUCACCUGGCAAGGACAGCCCGGCAACAACAUCACUGCUGGCACGACGAUCCUGUCGGCGAUCAAGGCCACCGUUGAUCCCAGCACGACGGUGGUGUACUCGGAGAACCCGGACAGCAGCGUGGUCACCGGCGACAAGUACGACUACGCGAUCGUGGUGGUCGGCGAGCCGCCGUACGCGGAGGGGUUCGG
rnacentral:misc_RNA from 1 species